GACGAACGCUGGCGGCGUGCUUAACACAUGCAAGUCGAACGGAAAGGCCCUGCUUUUGUGGGGUGCUCGAGUGGCGAACGGGUGAGUAACACGUGAGUAACCUGCCCUUGACUUUGGGAUAACUUCAGGAAACUGGGGCUAAUACCGGAUAGGAGCUCUUGCUGCAUGGUGGGGGAUGGAAAGUUUCGGCGGUUGGGGAUGGACUCGCGGCUUAUCAGCUUGUUGGUGGGGUAGUGGCUUACCAAGGCUUUGACGGGUAGCCGGCCUGGGAGGGUGACCGGCCACAUUGGGACUGAGAUACGGCCCAGACGCCUACGGGAGGCAGCAGUGGGGAAUAUUGCACAAUGGGCGGAAGCCUGAUGCAGCAACGCCGCGUGCGGGAUGACGGCCUUCGGGUUGUAAACCGCUUUCGCCUGUGACGAAGCGUGAGUGGCGGUAAUGGGUAAAGAAGCACCGGCUAACUACGUG
rnacentral:rRNA from 1 species